GAUGAACGCUGGCGGCGUGCCUAAUACAUGCAAGUCGAACGCAUAGCGAAAGGUGCUUGCACCUUUCAAGUGAGUGGCGAACGGGUGAGUAACACGUGGACAACCUGCCUCAAGGCUGGGGAUAACAUUUGGAAACAGAUGCUAAUACCGAAUAAAACUUAGUGUCGCAUGACACAAAGUUAAAAGGCGCUUCGGCGUCACCUAGAGAUGGAUCCGCGGUGCAUUAGUUAAUUGGUGGGGUAAAGGCCUACCAAGACAAUGAUGCAUAGCCGAGUUGAGAGACUGAUCGGCCACAUUGGGACUGAGACACGGCCCAAACUCCUACGGGAGGCUGCAGUAGGGAAUCUUCCACAAUGGGCGAAAGCCUGAUGGAGCAACGCCGCGUGUGUGAUGAAGGCUUUCGGGUCGUAAAGCACUGUUGUAUGGGAAGAACAGCUAGAAUAGGAAAUGAUUUUAGUUUGACGGUACCAUACCAGAAAGGGACGGCUAAAUACGUG
rnacentral:rRNA from 1 species